rnacentral:rRNA from 1 species
GACGAACGCUGGCGGCGUGCCUAAUACAUGCAAGUAGAACGCUGAAGAGAGGAGCUUACUCUUCUUGGAUGAGUUGCGAACGGGUGAGUAACGCGUAGGUAACCUGCCUUGUAGCGGGGGAUAACUAUUGGAAACGAUAGCUAAUACCGCAUAACAAUGGAUGACACAUGUCAUUUAUUUGAAAGGGGCAAUUGCUCCACUACAAGAUGGACCUGCGUUGUAUUAGCUAGUAGGUGAGGUAAUGGCUCACCUAGGCGACGAUACAUAGCCGACCUGAGAGGGUGAUCGGCCACACUGGGACUGCGACACGGCCCAGACUCCUACGGGAGGCAGCAGUAGGGAAUCUUCGGCAAUGGGGGCAACCCUGACCGAGCAACGCCGCGUGAGUGAAGAAGGUUUUCGGAUCGUAAAGCUCUGUUGUAAGUCAAGAACGGGUGUGAGAGUGGAAAGUUCACACUGUGACGGUAGCUUACCAGAAAGGGACGGCUAACUACGUG